UUUUGGGGUGAUUUUGGGCACUUUGGGACCCCCGCAGCACGUCCGGAACAGCCGCGGCUCCAACAAGUACGAGGGGUGGCCGCAGGCGCUGGAGCUCGGCGGCUGCGUCCCCCAGCGGCCCCCGGGGUGACCCCAAAAACCGGGGGGACCCCAAAACAUCCCGGGGGGACCCCAAAACAUCCCGGGAACCCCAAAACAUCCAGGGGGACCCCAAAAACCGGGGGGGGACCCGAAAACAUCCCGGGGGGACCCCAAAACAUCCCGGGAACCCCAAAAACAUCCCGGGACCCCAAAACAUCCCAGGGGACCCCAAAACCCGGGGGGACCUCAAAAUCAUCCCGGGGGGACCCCAAAACAUCCCGGGGGGACCCCAAAACAUCCCGGGAACCCUAAAACAUCACGGGGGGACCCCAAAACCCGGGGGGACCCCAAAACAUCCCGGGGGGACCCCAAAACCCGGGGGGACCCCAAAAACAUCCCGGGAACCCUAAAACAUCUUGGGGGAUCCCAAAAACAUCCCGGGAACCCCAAAACAUCCCGGGGGACCCUAAAAACAUCCCGGGAACCCCAAAAACGUGCCAGGGGGACCCAAAAACCCGGGGGGGACCCCAAAACAUCCCGGGGGGACCUCAAAACUCACAGAGAUCCCAAAAAACCCACAGAGACCCCUCAGGGACCCCGAAAACCCCACAGAGACCCCAAAGCACAAAGUGGGGGACCCCAAAAUACACAGGGACCCCAAAAACCCCACACAGCGACCCCAAAACUCACAGAGACCCCAAAACCUCCCGGGGGCACCCCAAAAUUCACAGAGACCCCAAAAACCCCACAGGGACCCCAAAACAUCCCAGUGGGACCCCAAAAACCCCACAGAGACCCCAAAAAACCCGCAGAGACCCCCUCAAGGACCCCAAAAUCCACAGGGGGCACCCCAAAACUCACAGAGACCCCAAAACAUCCCGGAGGUACCCCAAAACUCACAGAGACCCCAAGGGACCCCAAAACCCCCACAGAGACCCCCUCAAGGACCCCAAAAUCCACAGGGGGCACCCCAAAACUCACGGGGACGCCAAAAACCCCUCAUGGACCCCAAAAUGUCCCAGAACCCCCCAAAGCCGAGGAUUUGGGGUCCCCCCGGUCAGAUUUGGGGUUCCCUGGUCAGAUUUGGGGUCCCCCGGUCAGAUUUG
ensembl:lncRNA